rnacentral:rRNA from 1 species
UGGCUUAGAAGCAGCCAUCAUUUAAAGAAAGCGUAAUAGCUCACGGGUCGAGUCGGCCUGCGCGGAAGAUGUAACGGGGCUAAAUUAUGCACCGAAGCCGCGGCAGCGAUAUGUAAAUAUUGUUGGGUAGGGGAGCGUUCUGUAAGCCUGUGAAGGUGGCCUGUGAGGGCUGCUGGAGGUAUCAGAAGUGCGAAUGCUGACAUAAGUAACGAUAAUGCGGGUGAAAAACCCGCACGCCGGAAGACCA